UUAUCCCCUCCCAUAGCUGAUUGUGAAGGAAGUAUUUUCAAGUUCGAGCCGCAAAACUCGUCUCCAUCCAGCUCAACGGCUCUUUUGGCAGCAUCAGGGGACAAAAAUGUUAUCUUGCCCCACUUUUCUCUAUCUGGAGGAUCCUUCCCCAUUCCUUGGAACUUGUACACAGCACAUAUAGAACCUGAGGUAUUCUUUUCAAAAAACAUCAGGAGCUCCUUGUCAUCAAUUGCAUUUAUGUUUGAGUGAUACACAUCAACACUCAGGGAAUGCUUCUCGAGUUCCAGAUGCUUUAUCUCAGCA